GAUGAAGAACGUAGCGAAAUGCGAUACGUAAUGUGAAUUGCAGAAUUCAGUGAAUCAUCGAAUCUUUGAACGCAUAUUGCGCUCUCUGGUAUUCCGGAGAGCAUGCUUGUUUGAGUAUCAGUAAACACCUCAACUUCCAUAUCUUUUUUGAAAUGGGAGUUGGACUUGAGUGAUCCCAACGCUUUUCCUCACCGAAAAGUGGCGGGUUACUUGAAAUGCAGGUGCAGCUGGACUUUUCUCUGAGCUAUAAGCAUAUCUAUUUAGUCUGCCUAAAAAACAGAUUAUUACCUUUGCUGCAGCUAACAUAAAGGAGAUUAGUUCUUGUGCUGACUGAUGCAGGAUUCACAAAGACGGCUUCGGCCGACUUUGUAAACUCGAUCUCAAAUCAAGUAAGACUACCCGCUGAACUUAAGCAUAUCAAUAAGGGAGGA
rnacentral:misc_RNA from 1 species